UACGUAGGGGGCAAGCGUUGUCCGGAAUCAUUGGGCGUAAAGAGCGUGUAGGCGGCUUGGCAAGUCUGGUGUGAAAUCUUGCGGCUCAACCGCAAGCGGUCACUGGAAACUGCCUCGCUAGAGUCCGGAAGAGGGGAGCGGAAUUCCUGGUGUAGCGGUGGAAUGCGCAGAUAUCAGGAAGAACACCCGUGGCGAAGGCGGCUCUCUGGGACGGUACUGACGCUGAGACGCGAAAGCGUGGGGAGCGAACAGG
rnacentral:rRNA from 1 species